AGUGGCGGACGGGUGAGUAACACGUAAGAAUUUGCCUUUAGGAGGGGGAUAACAACUGGAAACGGUUGCUAAUACCCCAUAUGCUUUCGAGUGAAAUGGAUUUCCGCCUAAAGAGAAGCUUGCGGCUGAUUAGCUUGUUGGUGAGGUAAUGGCUCACCAAGGCGACGAUCAGUAUCUGGUUUGAGAGGACGAUCAGACACACUGGAACUGAGACACGGUCCAGACUCCUACGGGAGGCAGCAGUGGGGAAUUUUCCGCAAUGGGCGAAAGCCUGACGGAGCAAUACCGCGUGAGGGAUGAAGGCCUAUGGGUUGUAAACCUCUUUUUUCAGGAGGAACAAAAUGACGUGUACCUGAAGAAUAAGCAUCGGCUAACUCCGUGCCAGCAGCCGCGGUAGGACGGGGGAUGCAAGUGUUAUCCGGAAUCACUGGGCGUGAAGCGUCUGUAGGUGGUUAAGUAAGUCAACUGUUAGAUCUUGAGGCUUAACCUCAAAAUCGCAGUCGAAACUGCUUGACUGGAGUAUAGUAGGGGUAAAGGGAAUUUCCAGUGGAGCGGUGAAAUGCGUAGAUAUUGGAAAGAACACCGAUGGCGAAGGCACUUUACUGGGCUAUUACUAACACUGAGAGACGAAAGCUAGGGUAGCAAAUGGGAUUAGAUACCCCAGUAGUCCUAGCUGUAAACAAUGGAUACUAGAUGUUGA
rnacentral:rRNA from 1 species